GAGAGAGAGUGUGAGUGUAAGAGAAAGCGAAGAAGCCACUCUUGAGAAAAGCUUGCCAUAAAGGAGCUAAACCCACCUGAAAUUCCUACCCACGGACACCCCUUCUCACUUCAGACUCACAUCCCCACUCAAAAUGAGAAAAUUAGAAAAGGAGGAUGGAGGACGAGCACACCAAAAAGGGAUAAAAAGAGAGAAAAGGGGAGGAAAAAAAACCUACCUGCGAAGUCUUGUUUGUAGUUUUGGCCAGAAAUGGUGAGAAGAAAAAGCAUGAAGAAGCCGCGAAGUGUGGGGGAGAAAAAGGUGGAAGCGAAGAAACAGCUCCCGGAGCAAACUGUACAAAAACCUCGCCAAGAGUGUCGGGAGGCAGGACCGUUAUUCCUGCAGAGCAGGAGAGAGACGAGAGACCCUGAAACACGCGCCACCUAUCUUUGUGGGGAGGGAUAAUUGAAGCGCCCUGAGCGUACCAGAGCCAGAAAAAAAUUGCUGCAUGGGAGCUGCAUCUUAGGGCAUGUGUAUUAGGGUGUGUGCAUGAUGAAUUUCUGGACUGGAUCCCAAUAUUAAAAAGUAGUUUGGCAUUUUAAUAAAGGGUCUCUAAGUAAAUUAACAUAGAACACUCGGUUGGCCGAUCUCUGAAUCUCUCUACACCUCGGGGAGACCUCACUACAAAGUAAGGGAGAGUGUGUAGGGAGGCAGGAGGAGAAACGAGAAAGGCCAUAGAGAAACUUAGCAGGGAAGGGAGAGCAUGAUAUUAAAC
rnacentral:lncRNA from 1 species